rnacentral:rRNA from 1 species
CAUCGAGUCUUUGAACGCAAGUUGCGCCUGAAGCCACUAGGUUGAGGGCACGUCUGCCUGGGCGUCACACAAUGUGUCGCCCCCUUGCAGCUCGCCUUGCACAGGAUGAGUGUUGCUAAUGGGGGCGGAUAAUGGCUUCCCGUGCGUAGGUGCGGCCGGCCUAAAUUGUAGUCCCUCAUCUCACGGGGUCACAACAAGUGGUGGUUGAAAAGCUUAAACAAGUUGUGCACACCAUGCGAUGGAGGUGAUGUUUUGGACCCUAAGGCGAUCCCUCUACUGUGAGGAGCGUUCGUCACGACUGCGACCCCAGGUCAGGCGGGGCUACCCGCUGAGUUUAAGCAUAUCAAUAAGCGGAGGAAAAGAAACUAACAAGGAUUCCCUUAGUAACGGCGAGCGAACCGGGAAAAGCCCAAGCUUAGAAUYSWGCGGCUUCGUCGCUCGAAUUGUAGU